rnacentral:rRNA from 1 species
GAGUUUGAUCAUGGCUCAGAACGUACGCUGGCGGCACGCCUAACACAUGCAAGUCGAACGAAGUAGCAAUACUUAGUGGCAGACGGGUGAGUAACAUGUAGGUAUCUGCCCUUUGGCCUGGAAUAACACGAGGAAACUUGUGCUAAUACCGGAUAAGUCUUUACGGAGAAAGCUUUAUGCACCAUUGGAUGAGCCUGCACUUGAUUAGUUUGUUGGUGGGGUAAUGGCCUACCAAGACUGUGAUCAAUAGCUGAUUUGAGAGGAUGAUCAGCCACAUUGGGACUGAGACACGGCCCAAACUCCUACGGGAGGCAGCAGUGGGGAAUCUUGCACAAUGGAGGAAACUCUGAUGCAGCGAUGCCGCGUGAGUGAAGAAGGCCUUUGGGUUGUAAAGCUCUUUCGUCGGGGAAGAAAAUGACUGUACCCGAAUAAGAAGGUCCGGCUAACUUCGUGCCAGCAGCCGCGGUAAUACGAAGGGACCUAGCGUAGUUCGGAAUUACUGGGCCUAAAGAGUUCGUAGGUGGUUGAAAAAGUUGGUGGUGAAAUCCCAGAGCUUAACUCUGGAACUGCCAUCAAAACUUUUCAGCUAGAGUAUGAUAGAGGAAAGCAGGAUUUCUAGUGUAGAGGUGAAAUUCGUAGAUAUUAGAAAGAAUACCAAUUGCGAAGGCAGCUUUCUGGAUCAUUACUGACACUGAGGAACGAAAGCAUGGGUAGCGAAGAGGAUUAGAUACCCUCGUAGUCCAUGCCGUAAACGAUGUGUGUUAGACGUUGGAAAUUUAUUUUCAGUGUCGCAGCGAAAGCGAUAAACACACCGCCUGGGGAGUACGACCGCAAGGUUAAAACUCAAAUGAAUUGACGGGGACCCGCACAAGUAGUGGAGCAUGUGGUUUAAUUCGAAGAUACGCGCAGAACCUUACCAACACUUGACAUGUUCGUCGCGACUCUAAGAGAUUAGAGUUUUCGGUUCGGCCGGACGAAACACAGGUGCUGCAUGGCUGUCGUCAGCUCGUGUCGUGAGAUGUUGGGUUAAGUCCCGCAACGAGCGCAACCCUCACUUUUAGUUGCCAUCAUUAAGUUGGGCACUCUGAAAGAACUGCCAGUGAUAAGCUGGAGGAAGGUGGGGAUGACGUCAAGUCCUCAUGGCCCUUACGUGUUGGGCUACACACGUGCUACAAUGGUAUCUACAACAGGAAGCAAGACUGCGAAGUUAAGCAAAUCCUUAAAAGAUACCUCAGUUCGGAUUGCACUCUGCAACUCGAGUGCAUGAAGCUGGAAUUACUAGUAAUCGUGGAUCAGCGUGCCACGGUGAAUGCGU